UCUAUGUUCAGCUUAAGCUUGAAAAGAAGAGGAAGCUUAUCACUAAGAAAACUAGGAGGAAUCAUUUCAUUGCUAGACGAAGCUUGGUAUGCUUUUUAAGUGUUUAUCUCCUCAUUUAUGAUGCUCUACCUUGUGAUUCUUGGUUGGCUCUUUGUAUAUUUUUGUGGCAGGUUUGUGGGGGAUUAAAUGAGUCAUACUUAAGCUGAAGAGGCUUGUGAAUUCACAAGAAAAGUUGUACCAGAUGGCUAGCUAGUUGCAUAAUUAAUAUAUUUAGUAUUUUUUUUCUAAGACGUCAUAGUAUUUGAUAGAGCAGUUGUUGAAUUUUGACUAUAUUCAAAAUGGUGUAUGAAUUCUUUUUUAUGAUAAUAAUAUAUGGAUUUUGAUUA